rnacentral:rRNA from 1 species
UUAGUAUACCGGUCAGUUACCGACCAGUUACUACUUCAGGUGGGAAGCCAGAAGAAGGGGAAGAGGCACAGGUAUACAUCGACGGUGCCCUCUCGCCGCUGACUGAGUGACUGAGUGACCAGAGAGAAGGCCAGAGGGGGGAGGAGCCGGUAGAGCAGGUGGCGUUUAGGCAGCGUCGAUGUCGGCCGCCCCUCGUAGAGAGGAAGCGGCGGGCGGCAUCUCUGCCGGCCGGCGGCGGUCGUCGCCGGUCUAGACCCGAGUCCGCUCUCUCCCUCUGGCUGGUCAGAGCUUAGGUGGUAAAGGGAGAGACGUGUUGCCUCCCUAAGCCUGCCGCGCGCGCAGCGGUAACGAGGCCUCGAGAUUCGGUCUAGCUCUCUCGGUCGGCCCCUCCGCGGACGGUCGGUCGGUACCGCCUGGACCGCCAGCCCGACAGGUUCUGCCACCACCGCCUCCGCGACUGGUUCCACGUCAGCCGGUAGCUGCUCCUGUUGUUCGAGGCCGUGUUCCGCGUCGCCCUGGACCACUGGUAGUGGGAGCUCAAGCUCUACUACGUCAGGAAGGACUUGCAGCGGUUGCCGCCCUCCCGGCGGCGGUACUUGUUGGACCACUCCUGGACCCACUCCGUGCAGGCGCUCGACCGGAUGCUGGACCUCCUGACGCAGCUCAAGCAGCAGGUGGACCUGCCGUUCGGCCAGAAGACCGCGGCGGACGAGGGCCGCACGCACCAGCCGGGCGACGGCGACCUGGUCCGCCACCGCCUCUAUCUCCACUAGUUCCCGUCCCGCCUCCUCGACUCGCGCACGAUGAGCGCGAUGUCGACGUAGCCGCUCGGACAUAGGUUGGAGCAGUACGACGUCGUCGUCGUCCGAAGGCCGGCCCCGCGACCGCGCCACCGCCGGCUGUACGAGUAGCUCCGCUCCCUAAGCCGCUUUUCCGUCGUUAAGGACCCACUAGACCGGGUCGAAUAGUGGUUGUUCCUGUUCCUGGAAGUCCACUAGAGCCACACCCCCUGUACGCCACUAGAACCCUGUUGGAGCUAGUAGUCCUUCCGCAUGUUACUAGGCCUCUAGACGGCCUCGAAGCGGACGGCGCAGACCCACUUCGAGUACGUAGGAAAGUUAGGGGUGCUCAAGCACACCGCCAAGUACCGUGUCCAGAUGUGGCGUCUGCGAACGCAGCUGUUCCUUCCUCGUCUACACCCACAUGUACAGGACCGUUUUUACCUCCGGUACGUCCUUCUACACUCACACGAGUCUGCACUCAAACACGUCCUUCAGUUGUGGUUCUGAAUGGAGCAGCACAACCUCUUGGAUUGACUGUACCAUCUAACCCUACGACACUCCUGCAAGGAUGGACUGUACUUCUUACCGUCGACCUAGUAGCACAGCUGCGUCGUUAAGCUCUAACGUUCGAACACGUAGCCUGUACGAAUGGUUGGUGACCUCGAGUUCGUCAAGAGUGGACUCGUGAGCCAAACACGUAAGAAGUUCCUCCAUGUGUCCUUCUUAGGAAAUAGUGGAAAUUUCCUAGUGCUUCUACACCUCGAUCUUCUCGAAUAAAACUUCACACCUCCAGAAGGGUUUCACUAUCAAAGAUAUCGACGGAAUAACCGGUGUGUCUGCCAUUGUAACUACCUAUGGCACGUGAGUAACUUAGUUUUUAAAUACGUCGUAGACCUCUGGUUAGGCCUAGUACUCACAGAGUUCCCGGACAAACUAACCUACGUGAGCAUGAAGGCAUGAACGGGUCUAAGGGAGUUCGGUACAUAGAAGAUGGACAGUUAAAAGGGAGCUGUGGUGCCGUAAGCCGUUUCCGCUGAUCAUUCCUCCACCUAACGUCUUCCAAUGAGAUCUCUGUCACUACUUCUUAGACGGCAACUGUUUCCCCUCUUGAAGAAGAGGUUCGAGGAGCUCGACUCGUAUUAAGUCGUCUAUGGUGUCAAUCAGUGGUGACGUAUGUUACUGUGGUCGUACCAGAGCACGGUCCAGUUACCGAAGUAGGCGCUCAUGUAACAGAGCGCGUCUUACCUUCUCUUGGAACACAAACUUGAACCCGGGUUAACGCAGGAUUGGUGGGUGGCGUGUCCCUCUGUGGAAUAGUAUAACUCUCUGACCCUGUCUCUGUUCUAACACAAACUCUCGUAGCUGAAGAGUGCCGAUGCGAGCGACUGUCACAAACCUUUCACCCUUAGCAAGAAGUAGAGGUUCUCAUACUCCGAUGAAGCCCACGAACUAGACCUCCUGCGUGACCCACAUUUCCUACUUCUAGAACUCUUCUACCACUUCGCCGACGCAGCGGACUUCAAAGAGAGAAAUGCUCCUACGCCACUCUAGAACGUAGACGGUUCGAGCGAGCCGCUAGAGUCCGUCGAGGUCUGAGACCUACACUCCGUGUGGAGGUAUGAGUUUGACGGUCGCUCGUAGUGUUCCAAUGUCUUCGACGUCAUGUAGGCGCGGCCGUGGUGGCGGGCUCGUAGUCGUGGCGGACGGAGUAGGUCGUCCGACGGUUUCAAGGUGUCUACGGCGCCGGACAAACCAUAGUUCCACGGGUUUCCCUAGCCUUUUGACUGCCGCGACGUGUGCGAGCCGCAGCAGCUGCAGCCACGAAGCCCUCCCUUCCGACAUCACCUUCUCGAGUCCUUUGAGUGGGUCGACGCGUUCGAGCCUCACAGACCGUAGUUGUCCGUAUUGUCGUUCCUGAAGAAGAGACGUUGGAGUCCGGAACACGUAGACCUUAGGAACGACCACGCCGACCCGUUCCUGUCGGUUCCGACGGACCUGCUUUAGUGGGACGGAACCCUCUUGGACGCCUCGGAGUGUGAGGUGCCCGAAGUUCUGUUCGACGGUGGUAGUUUCUUGGAGUCCUUCGAGUACUUCGACCUAGACCUCUACCUGCGGAAUUUCCUUCUGCUGUAGUUCAAGGAUCGGUUGGAUGGCCUCGAUACGUAGGACGCAGAGGCCCAGCCUGUCGAAGUCCUACCAUUCGAGGUAAAAGUGCGGCUCUACAUGCCCCUCCUCGACCAGUGGAAGUUCUUCCACUUCUAGGAGCUCUAGCGGAGGCCGCGGUCGCUCGACGUGCACUGGAAGCCCAGCUCCAGCUACUUCUCGGAGCUCGACGACUUCUAGCUGACGAGGUCGCGCAGCAUGGUAGAGUGCCCGGACUUGAAAGACAGGCUCGAGUUCCUCCAGAACGAGGUCCCAUGGUUACUACUCCGCUAGUUCUCGUUGAACCUCUGGGUCGAACGUUUGGUAGGGUUCCGCGGAUGGCACUUCGACCUCCUUGACGGCGCAAGUAGGACUUCCCAGCUGCGGUAGAGACAAAUAAAGUGAACAAAGACGAAUGGCACUCGAGACUAGGGCAGCGACGUUAGUCAGGAAGUCGAACAAAUGGAAACCAAAAAACACGUAGUCAUGACAACAACUUUAGAAAUGAAAAAAAAAAACACUUUGCCUACAACAACUUUAGAACUGACAAUGUUCAAUGUUGGCACACAAGGAACUCUUUACAUGGUGCAAGUUAAGAGUAUACCCAUGAACCUAUGCACGGGUAGAAGUUCCACUUCACACCAGCUACACUUA